rnacentral:rRNA from 1 species
UACGUAGGGUGCGAGCGUUGUCCGGAAUUAUUGGGCGUAAAGAGCUCGUAGGCGGUCUGGUCGCGUCUGCUGUGAAAACCCGAAGGCUCAACCUCGGGCCUGCAGUGGGUACGGGGCAGACUAGAGUGCGGUAGGGGAGAAUGGAAUUCCUGGUGUAGCGGUGAAAUGCGCAGAUAUCAGGAGGAACACCGGUGGCGAAGGCGGGUCUCUGGGCCGUAACUGACGCUGAGGAGCGAAAGCGUGGGGAGCAAACGGG